rnacentral:rRNA from 1 species
GACGCUCAUGCACGAAAGCGUGGGGAGCAAACAGGAUUAGAUACCCUGGUAGUCCACGCCCUAAACGAUGUCAACUAGCUGUUGGGGUCUUCGGACCUUGGUAGCGCAGCUAACGCGUGAAGUUGACGCCUGGGGAGUACGGUCGCAAGAUUAAAACUCAAAGGAAUUGACGGGGACCCGCACAAGCGGUGGAUGAUGUGGAUUAAUUCGAUGCAACGCGAA